ACAAAAAAAACCUAAUGACCCGGCCCCCAACCCGGUCCCCAACCCAUUGGCGAUGCUCUUUCACCCUAGCUACCCUAAUCGAGCUCUCACCCUGGCUACCCCUGGAAGAGCUCCUCCCAUUCCCUUCGCCCUUCGCCUUCCAAACCACUUCCAUACCCUAAUCGUGUCACAAUCUUCUUCAUCUUCUUAAUCUUCAUCUUCGUCUUCAUACUCUUCCUCUCUUUCUCGUUCUUCGUCCGUUCUUUCUGGAUCUCUCUGUUCACCUUCGAAUUCCACAAAUUAAAUUUCGAGCUCCACCAAACAUGGGCGACGGCAAGGUCAAUCUCCCCGACGAUCUCUUCUCCUCCAACCCCUCCGAUUCCAAAGGAACUAUCCUCUGUUAAUGGCUACAUGGAAGGUUGCCCCUGCUCUGGCAGCUGGUUGUGCUGCGAUAUUGAAGCCUUCCGAAUUGGCAUCUGUGACAUGUUUGGAGUUGGUUGACAUAUGCAAAGAAGUGGGCCUUCCUCUGGGUAUACUAAAUAUUCUCUUUAUGUAUAAUAGAUUAGAAAUAAAUCUAGUAACUGAAGAACAAUGAAUAUACGAGAAGCUCGUACACCAUACGUCUAAGAUGAAACGCAUUGGAAUUGAUACUGAAGCACUCAAAGAGCACUUUGGGAAGAAAAUUAUGGAGCUUGAGGAGGAAAAAAGAAAAGUGCAUCUUUGGACAUAGUUAGGUUUAAAUACCUUUUAGAUAGCACACAAACGAAAAGUUUUUUCUGGUUUGGUUUAUUUUUUGUCUACAUUUUUUGUGUAACUUGUUUUCAAAAUUUUGUAAAAAGGAAGUCGUGAAAAUAAGAAAUGAAGACAGUAAACAGUAUUUUUCUUAUGUUUAUGUUUUUUUUUCACAAUUAUGAAAACAAAAACAUAAGAAUGAAAACAAGGAAUCAAAAUACUGUUUACAGAAAUCUCAAGAUGUUCAUGGCCAAAAAUUGAAAGCACUGGAAGCACAGAUUUUAGACCUCAAGAAGAAACAAGAAAACCAGGUGCAGCUACUAAAGCAAAAGGAUAAGAGCGAAAAAACUACAAAAAAAUUGCAAGCUGAAAUAUAGUACAUCAAGGCUCAAAAGGUCCAAUUGCAGUAUAAAAUGAAGCAAGAGGCAGAACAAUUUCGACAAUGGAAGGCUUCUCAAGAAAAGGAGUUACUUCAGCUGAAAAGAUUUGCUUGGAGAGAACUGCAAAUAGCUACAGACAACUUUAGUGAGAGAAAUGUUUUAGGACAGGGAAGCUUUCGGAAGGUUUAUAAAGGAGUUCUACCCGAUGGCACAAAAAUUGCUGUUAAAAGGUUAACCAGUUAUGAAAGUCUCGGUGGAGAUGCUGUUAAAAUGUUAUAGUGAACUUUGCUGCUUAAUUAAUACGUAGAAUAAUGUGCUUAUAUAUAUUUGGUUGGUUUCUGAGAGUAUAAGCAGGAACUGUCCCACUAUGGUCAAAAGAUCAACAUCAUCCUUAGCAA